rnacentral:rRNA from 1 species
GAUGAACGCUGGCGGCGUGCCUAAUACAUGCAAGUCGAGCGAACAGACGAGGAGCUUGCGCCUCUCACGUUAGCGGCGCACGGGUGUGAAACACGUGUAUAACCCACCUAUCAUUCUGGGAAAAUUACGGGAAACCGGCGCAAACACCGGAUAAUCUAUUGAACCGUAUGGUUCAUUAGUGAAAGACGGCUUUGGUGGCACUAAUAGCUGGUUCCGCGCCGCAUUAGAUAGUUGUUAGGGUAACGGGUUACCAAGGCAACGAGGCGUAGCCGACCUGAGGGGGUGAUCGGCCACCCUGGAAGUGAGACGCGCACAAGAGGCCUACGGGAGGCAGCAGUAGGGAAUCUUCCGCAGUGGGCGAAAGCCUGACAGAGCAACGGCGCGUGAGUGAUGAAGGUCUUCGGAUCGUAAAGAUCUGUUAUUGGGGAAAAACAAAUGUGUAAGUAGCUGUGCAGGUCUUGACGGUACCUAAUCAGAAAGCCCCGGCUAACUACGUG